CAUGCAAGUCGAACGAUGAAGCCGGGGCUUUUUGUUUUGGUGGAUUAGUGGCGAACGGGUGAGUAAUACGUGAGUAACCUGCCCUUGUCUUUGGGAUAAGCCUGGGAAACUGGGUCUAAUACCGGAUAUUCUGCUUUUGCCGCAUGGUGGGGGUUGGAAAGAUUUUUUGGAUGGGGAUGGGCUCACGGCCUAUCAGCUUGUUGGUGGGGUGAUGGCCUACCAAGGCGUCGACGGGUAGCCGGCCUGAGAGGGUGACCGGCCACAUUGGGACUGAGAUACGGCCCAGACUCCUACGGGAGGCAGCAGUGGGGAAUAUUGCACAAUGGACGCAAGUCUGAUGCAGCGACGCCGCGUGGGGGAUGAAGGCUUUCGGGUUGUAAACUCCUUUCAGUACAGAAGAAGCAUUUUUGUGACGGUAUGUGCAGAAGAAGCGCCGGCUAACUACGUGCCAGCAGCCGCGGUAAUACGUAGGGCGCGAGCGUUGUCCGGAAUUAUUGGGCGUAAAGAGCUCGUAGGCGGUUUGUUGCGCCUGCUGUGAAAGACCGGGGCUUAACUUCGGGGUUGCAGUGGGUACGGGCAGACUAGAGUGUGGUAGGGGUAAUUGGAAUUCCUGGUGUAGCGGUGGAAUGCGCAGAUAUCAGGAGGAACACCGAUGGCGAAGGCAGGUUACUGGGCCAUUACUGACGCUGAGGAGCGAAAGCGUGGGUAGCGAACAGGAU
rnacentral:rRNA from 1 species